AUUCUACUCCCUCCAUUGCACAAUCCAUGCCUUCUAUUUGUCAAAAUAUAUAUGUAUCUAGACAUGUCUUAGUAUAUAGGUACAUCCAUUUUUGGAAAAAAUGGAAGUCAAGUAUUUUGGAACGGAGGGAGUACACA
rnacentral:pre_miRNA from 1 species